UACGUAGGGUGCAAGCGUUGUCCGGAAUUAUUGGGCGUAAAGAGCUCGUAGGCGGUUUGUCGCGUCGAAUGUGAAAACCCGGGGCUCAACCCCGGGCCUGCUUUCGAUACGGGCAGACUGGAGGUAUGCAGGGGAGAACGGAAUUCCUGGUGUAGCGGUGAAAUGCGCAGAUAUCAGGAGGAACACCGGUGGCGAAGGCGGUUCUCUGGGCAUGUCCUGACGCUGAGGAGCGAAAGUGUGGGGAGCGAACAGG
rnacentral:rRNA from 1 species